rnacentral:rRNA from 1 species
CUUUGUAUUAAUAAUCAAUAGGAUGCAAUAUUGCAAUAUAACUCACAACUGGCAACCCACUGAAGCUAAGCAGGUGUGUGCCUGGUCAGUACCUGGAUGGGAGACCUCCUGGGAAAAACUAAGGUUGCUGCAGGAA